UCUCAUUUUUUUCUAGACAAAUAGCCAAAAUUAUGAGUGGCCUAUGAUUAUUAUGCCUAAGUAGAGAAAUGUAUUAAAGUUUUGCUAUUUUUUAAUUUUUUAUCUGUAGUCUUAUAAAGUGAAACUGGAUUAAGGCUACACGAAAGUGCUGUAUAUUCUUGUGGUGCUGUGAUUUGGGAUUAAAUGAAUUGGGAGAUUCCUAUCAGUUUCUUUCAGUCUUCCUGCUCAUUUCGCUGCUGCAACUCCAUAGAUGACCCUCACUGCAUCUCUCUCCAUCUCUCUUUGCAUCUACCUCUCAUUUAGUGACAGUAUUUCAUUCAUUUACCAUGCCCCUGUUCACACCUAUGUGCUGAGGAUGCCAGUGUGUGAAUGUGACCUUAGAAAACGUUUUGCAUCGACAUUCAUGUAUGUAGCUCCUAUCACAGUAACUGUUCUUGCCCCAAGUGUUCUCAGAAGAGAAGACUUUAAAGAUCUGUACAUGAUCUUUACGACUAUAACAAGCCUUCAAAUAAAGAGCCUGCCUGAUCAUUUAAAGAGGGAACUCAAGAGCUUUUGCUUGGAGCUUUAGCUGUUCUUGCCUUUUGAUGUUUCAUGAUUGUUUUUCCUUUGUGAAACGCCCAGAUUCGUAUGAAUCGGAGCCAUGAAAAGAAGCUAAAGGACUAGAGACUGAUCCCAAUCUCACCCCUCUCUAUGGAUGGGGUCCCUGUGGAACUGUGGACACCAUAUGCAGCGCUGGUUUGGGGGGAAGAAAGUUAGCGUCGCGCAGUGUACGGGAAAGUCUCUCACUCCAUACAGGUAAACGCAAUGUGCCUCGCCCCCUUUCUACCUGUCGUCCUCCCCAAUAGCGUUUGCGCCUGACCGUGUAUCCACUCUAUUUCUCCUCGCCACCACCCCACCCCUCUUGUAGAUUCCUCACUUCUCCUUACCACUGCCAUAGCCAAUUGGUUCUCUAAACACCAGUGUUAUGCUACUCUCUGUCACUGCCAAAAAGGGGGGCGGCGGGGGUGACCGUUUACUGCUUCUGUGGUUAAUGUGUCUCGGUAAUGGAUGGGUGCUUGGUGCUUUAAUAACUAAUGUGCUGGUUUAGCUUCGGAGAGAGUGUGAUGAUACAAUGUCCGUAAGCAAAUGAAUGAGUGGGAUUGCUGGUUAAUGAUUGAAAGACUGCAUAAAAUGAGUGUUAAAACAAGUUCGCAAGGGUGGCUGAUAAAAGUGUGUGACAAAGGUGAGUGAUUGCGAGUCAGCAUUGUCGACUUCACCUGGCCCCCCCUCCAUGUGCCUUUUUUUUUCGUUAAUUUGAUUUAACCCUUGCCCCCAGGCUUCCUCGAGUUUACUCGCCGUAAACGCCCAGCUCACCGCCGCCCUCGUCGCAUCCCCAGUGCUAGUUGUUACGUUUGUUCAGUGUUAGCCACUGCUUGAACGCAUCCCCAAAAGCUCUGUGACUGGACCUGAGACACUGGCCAAAAUUUUAUUCGCAAGACUCUCAUUUGGGCUCAGUGACACUGGAAACCCUUAUCAAGCAGUUCUUGACUGUUAUACACUGCUCCGCCGUAAACCAACAAGGCAUUCUUAUCAUAAACAUACGCUUUUGUUUCCUAGAUAGACAACAAUUCUUGAGCAGCAGCUUAGUUAUAGACAUGCCAGUUACCAGAUUUAGUUUUUGUUUGUCAGAUGUAAAGAUAUUCUAUUUUAGGAGUUAAUUUUAAAGCUACCUUGCGUUACCUGUUCAAAUGAGAGUCUGUUAUAAUGUUUGUGUUUGAAAUAGCUGUCUGUAUAAUAAGUAGGUAGCACAAAUUAAGAUCGCCUACCUGGUUAAAUUACAUAGCCGAUAAAGGAAUGUCCUAGAAAUAAAGCAGCUUCAGCUGGGGGAAAAAAUGACUGCUGAACCAGAGCUACCAGAGGGAUACUAACAGGACCUUUCCUCUAGAGGGAGCAUGGUAGUGAAGUGUGGGUUAUUUCACUAGAAGGUGCUGUUGUUCUUGAUUUUACUUGAUUUUUCUGAUGAUGGGUAGCAUCUUCCCAUAUGUUGUCACACACAUCUGCAUUGCUUCUUGUCAAUAGUGUCUGUUUAAUUUUGCCUGUAGGAAUGAGGGGAAAGGACAAGAUGACCUCAGUUUUAGAUCUUAUUCUGGAGGUAAAGAAACUGUUCGUUACCUGAAAUAAGAUGUCUCUUAUGCCAGAGAGAAAGUAGUAGCUGGUACUCCCAAUAUUAACGGUAUUAAGAUCUUUGGCUUGCAGAUAUUUGCGGUGGACAGAUUUCCAUGAUGUCCGUAGCAUCCGUUAAUAAUGACAGGUGUCUGCAGCAGAUAGUUAUCACAGGUUUUCAAGAGGAAGCUUCUAUAAUGAAUUGUGGUUCUUAAACAUGGUUCUUGGUUCAUAAGCAAAUGACUUACCUCCUUCUCAUACUUGCUCUUCCAGCUUAAGUCUCCUCUAAGAAUAUACAUGAUACGCUCCAAAAUUUUCAUUGGAUAACAGAAUGCUCUUUCUGUCCACUUCCUCUCUAGAUAUCGUCAACCUUAUUGUUUAAACUGGACAAUAUAACAAUAACACAACCUCUCUUGUCUGUAUCCUAUUAUAUUUAGAAAACGUAUUUUAUUAUUUUCCCUUUUUCCCCUUUGAUUCUAUAAAAGGAUUUCCCUACUGAGUGAAAAGCCUAUUCCAGUACUUUUGGAAGUGCAUAAUUUUUAUAAUUCAUGUAUGAAACAAGAAUAAUUUCUGUUGCAGGAGACAGGAUGUGAGCUGGUCGUAAUGUUUUUACCACCUAAUGAAUAUAUGCAUGCUUUGUUAAUGUGUGUAUAUUGCAAAAACCUUGCGACUGGUAAAGUGUACUCUCCUACACCAGCUUCUGCAUGAACACUGUUUGGCAUCGCAUGCUUACUGCAAUAAACUAGAACUAUGACAGCA